rnacentral:rRNA from 1 species
AACUAACGCUGGCGGCGUGCCUAACACAUGCAAGUCGUACGAGAAAGCCGGCUUCGGCUGGUGAGUAAAGUGGCGCACGGGUGAGUAACGCGUGGAUAAUCUGCCCUUAAGUGUGGAAUAACGUACCGAAAGGUGCGCUAAUACCGCAUAAUGCCUGGCAACACAAGUUGUCCGGCCAAAGAAGGCCUCUGUUUACAAGCUUUCGCUUCAGGAUGAGUCCGCGUACCAUUAGCUUGUUGGUGGGGUAAUGGCCUACCAAGGCUGCGAUGGUUAGCUGGUCUGAGAGGAUGAUCAGCCACACUGGAACUGAGGCACGGUCCAGACUCCUACGGGAGGCAGCAGUGAGGAAUAUUGCGCAAUGGGGGCAACCCUGACGCAGCAACGCCGCGUGAGUGAGGAAGGUUUUCGGACUGUAAAGCUCUGUCGAGCGGGAAGAAGUGUACCAUGGCUAAUAUCCAUGAUAUUUGACGGUACCGCUAGAGG